AACGCUGGCGGCGUGCUUAACACAUGCAAGUCGAACGAUGAUGCUGGAGCUUGCUCCAGUUGAUUAGUGGCGAACGGGUGAGUAACACGUGAGCAAUCUGCCCUUGACUCUGGGAUAACUGCGGGAAACUGUAGCUAAUACCGGAUACUUUCACCGGAAGGCAUCUUCUGGUGAUGAAAGAAUUUCGGUCAGGGAUGAGCUUGCGGCUGAUUAGCUUGUUGGUGAGGUAAUGGCUCACCAAGGCGACGAUCAGUAUCUGGUUUGAGAGGAUGAUCAGACACACUGGAACUGAGACACGGUCCAGACUCCUACGGGAGGCAGCAGUGGGGAAUUUUCCGCAAUGGGCGAAAGCCUGACGGAGCAAUCUCGCGUGGGGGAUGACGGCCUAUGGGUUGUAAACCUCUUUUUUCAGGGAGGAACAAAAUGACGUGUACCUGAAGAAUAAGCAUCGGCUAACUCCGUG
rnacentral:rRNA from 1 species